AGAUGUGAGGACAAUCUGGCUGUGUGACUGUCACCUCCCGGAUCUCCUGGGUAAAUCCAGCUGAGGUGACUGGCUAGGCAGGUAUGCCCUUCCUCCCUCAUGCUUCAUGUGUUCCCUGGAUAGAGAAGGACUGGUCCUUAGUCAAGGGUAUAAGAGUAGAUGCUAGCAGCAACAAGCAAGCUCUUAAAACAUAUAUUUUUAAUUCUGUUGUUUUAUUUUAAAUAAAUGUCGAAUACCAAGGCAGUAGUGUAAUUAGCUCCUUCGGUAAU
rnacentral:snRNA from 1 species